GGGCAUUAGAGUGAAUUAUUC
rnacentral:siRNA from 1 species